UUGGAGGGCAAGUCUGGUGCCAGCAGCCGCGGUAAUUCCAGCUCCAAUAGCGUAUAUUAAAGUUGUUGCAGUUAAAAAGCUCGUAGUUGAAUUUCGGGGUCAGUAGGUUGGUCGUGCCAUUGGUAUGUACUGGCCUUACUGAUUCCUCCUUCUUGAAGAACUGUGAUGUCAUUUACUUGGUGUUGCAGGGAAACAGGACUGUUACUUUGAAAAAAUUAGAGUGUUUAAAGCAGGCUAACGCUUGAAUACAUUAGCAUGGAAUAAUGAAAUAGGACGUUUGAUCCUAUUUUGUUGGUUUCUAGGAUUGACGUAAUGAUUAAUAGGGAUAGUUGGGGGCAUUAGUAUUCAAUUGUCAGAGGUGAAAUUCUUGGAUUUAUUGAAGACUAACUACUGCGAAAGCAUUUGCCAAGGAUGUUUUCAUUAAUCAAGAACGAAAGUUAGGGGAUCGAAGACGAUCAGAUACCGUCGUAGUCUUAACCAUAAACUAUGCCGACUAGGGAUCGGAUGAUGUUAAUUUUUUAAUGACUCAUUCGGCGCCUUACGGGAAAC
rnacentral:rRNA from 1 species